AUUGAACGCUGGCGGCAGGCUUAACACAUGCAAGUCGAGCGGAGGAAGGUAGCUUGCUACUGGACUUAGCGGCGGACGGGUGAGUAAUGUCUGGGGAUCUGCCCGAUGGAGGGGGAUAACUACUGGAAACGGUAGCUAAUACCGCAUAACGUCGCAAGACCAAAGUGGGGGACCUUCGGGCCUCACACCAUCGGAUGAACCCAGAUGGGAUUAGCUAGUAGGCGGGGUAAAGGCCCACCUAGGCGACGAUCUCUAGCUGGUCUGAGAGGAUGACCAGCCACACUGGAACUGAGACACGGUCCAGACUCCUACGGGAGGCAGCAGUGGGGAAUAUUGCACAAUGGGGGAAACCCUGAUGCAGCCAUGCCGCGUGUAUGAAGAAGGCCUUCGGGUUGUAAAGUACUUUCAGCGGGGAGGAAGGCAGUGAACUUAAUACGUUCGCUGAUUGACGUUACCCGCAGAAGAAGCACCGGCUAACUCCGUGCCAGCCGCCGCCGUAAGAC
rnacentral:rRNA from 1 species